AAUAUUUCAUUUUGUUGGUUUAUUUAUUUAAUUAAGUAGUACUAUUGAUGUUGCUCUUUUCUGUAUUUGAUCAACUGACAAUUGAGGAUAUUGCAGAGGCUGACCCAUAUUUAGGCAAUCUAUUUGGCAGGUACUUGCAUGGAUUUUGUCCUCCACUUAUAUCCUCUGAUGAUGAUGCAAAGUAUGACUUGGGGAUUGAAUAACUACCAUGAUGUGUGAACAUUUAUUUUGAAAAACUUAUUAUGUUACUGUUAGCUUGUGAGCUAUAGAUUUUUUUUUUUUUAAUUGAGUAUUGUCUAUGGAUAUUGGACUUUUUUAUCUUCAAGAUGACAAUCUAGUUUGUUA